GAUGAACGCUGGCGGCGUGCUUAACACAUGCAAGUCGAACGGAAAGGCCCUGCUUUUGUGGGGUGCUCGAGUGGCGAACGGGUGAGUAACACGUGAGUAACCUGCCCUUGACUUUGGGAUAACUUCAGGAAACUGGGGCUAAUACCGGAUAGGAGCUCCUGCUGCAUGGUGGGGGUUGGAAAGUUUCGGCGGUUGGGGAUGGACUCGCGGCUUAUCAGCUUGUUGGUGGGGUAGUGGCUUACCAAGGCUUUGACGGGUAGCCGGCCUGAGAGGGUGACCGGCCACAUUGGGACUGAGAUACGGCCCAGACUCCUACGGGAGGCAGCAGUGGGGAAUAUUGCACAAUGGGCGGAAGCCUGAUGCAGCAACGCCGCGUGCGGGAUGACGGCCUUCGGGUUGUAAACCGCUUUCGCCUGUGACGAAGCGUGAGUGACGGUAAUGGGGAAAGAAACACCGGCUAACUACGU
rnacentral:rRNA from 1 species